rnacentral:rRNA from 1 species
AAAUGAAUAGACGGGGACCCGCACAAGCAGCGGAGCAUGUGGUUUAAUUCGAAGCAACGCGAAGAACCUUACCAGGGCUUGACAUCCCUCUGACAGAUCCGUAAUGGGAUCCUCCCUUCGGGGCAGAGGUGACAGGUGGUGCAUGGUUGUCGUCAGCUCGUGUCGUGAGAUGUUGGGUUAAGUCCCGCAACGAGCGCAACCCUUGUCAUUAGUUGCCAUCAGGUUAAGCUGGGCACUCUAGUGAGACUGCCGGGGAUAACUCGGAGGAAGGUGGGGAUGACGUCAAAUCAUCAUGCCCCUUAUGUCCUGGGCUACACACGUGCUACAAUGGCCGGAACAAAGAGCAGCGAACUCGCGAGGGUGAGCGAAACUCAAAAUCCGGUCCCAGUUCGGAUUGCAGGCUGAAACUCGCCUGCAUGAAGUCGGAGUUGCUAGUAAUCGUGAAUCAGAAUGUCACGGUGAAUGCGUUCCCGGGUCUUGUACACACCGCCCGU